rnacentral:rRNA from 1 species
AUCAACGCUGGCGGCGUGCCUAACACAUGCAAGUCGAACGAGAAAGUGGAGCAAUCCAUGAGUAAAGUGGCGACCGGGUGAGUAACACGUGACUAACCUACCCUGGAGUGGGGAAUAACCUUCCGAACGGAGGGCUAAUACCGCAUAACGUCCUGAGGCUGCGAUGCCCUGGGACCAAAGGAGCAAUUCGCUUUGGGAGGGGGUCGCGGCAGAUUAGCUAGUUGGUGAGGUAACGGCUCACCAAGGCAUUGAUCUGUAGCCGGCCUGAGAGGGCGCACGGCCACACUGGAACUGAGACACGGUCCAGACUCCUACGGGAGGCAGCAGUGGGGAAUUUUGCGCAAUGGGGGAAACCCUGACGCAGCAACGCCGCGUGGAGGAUGAAGGUCUUUGGAUUGUAAACUCCUUUCGAUCGGGACGAUUAUGACGGUAACGGAAGAAGAAGCCCCGGCUAACUUCGU